GUGCAGCUCCCUGUCAUCACAGUUUGCACGGAGCUCUGAGCUGAGCCUGCCCAGCAAGGACACCUGGGGCUUGUCCUGGGGCUGGCUCUCUCCCUACCUGUCCUGUGUAACAGGGACAAGUAUUAUUAAGAACAUGCUGUGGUAUCUUUUACAGUUGUGUCUAUGUCCACGGUCAUGGGGAAUGAAUUAAUAAGGCCAGAAAAGAGCUAUUGAGAGCUGCUACAUGAGCUCAUGAAACUACCUGGGACUGGGAGUCAGUAUUAAGAAAACACAUCUACUAACCUGCUUCUCACCGAUGGUCACUGAUGACCACUGUUGGGGAAUGGGGCUCUUCUUGGGAGAUAUGAUCGUGGUUGUGGUUUUACCUUCUAGGCAAAACAGCCUUCGGAGAGAAACUGCCUUCUCAACCCUACAUCUGGGCAUCAGCUAAACCCUCAGCAAGUGAAAAACCUCCAACAGCUGGGGACUGGGGAAGACUUUCUUUUCACCGCAGAGAGUGGUAUCUCCCUGGAUGUGCUGAAAAGUGAACGUCAGGACUUGCAUUGCUGAAGAUUCAUGCAGUGGCUGCAGGCGGAGCCCAAGUGCAGCAGGAGCCAUCAACAGAGACCUCACAUCACCUCACACAUCAACAUCACCUCGCACAUCAACAUCACCUGCUCACACCCCAGGAUAUAGUCAAACAAGUAUGUCAGUAUUCUGGCAGAGGUCCUGAUCCAGCUUUGAUCAGAACCAGAGUCUCUGUGGCUCUGCUUUGUUCCCAGCUUUUGCCACAGCUAUCUGAUGGUCCACAGAGCCUCAUCCUCCACCUCUUUGCAGAGCUGCCAAAGAGCAGGCAAACACCCUAAUGACGAAUCACUGAGCUGAGUAUCCUUCCCUGUUCUACAGAAGAUUAAAUGAUGAUCCUCCCACCACCCAGCCAGCAUAAAGUCAGCUUUUUGUAAAGUAAAAAUACAGAUAAAAUCUUGAGCACAGUAAAACUAAGAAAUGCUCAAACAACAGAAACCAUUGUUUGUUUGUGUGUUUUGUUUGUUUGUUUUUGUUUGUUUUUUUGGUGUGUGCAUACAAAAUGAGAGGAUCUGUAUAUUAAUAAAAGUUGUCCCCACUCCCCUGAGAUCCAAGAGAUGGCAAUAGAUGAGAUGAAGACGAACGAGGAGAUGGAGAUGAAAAUGAAAAUAAACAUGAAGAUGGGGAGGUUCUGCUUGGUGUCUGGUAGCACUGGGGGCCCAAAGGCAGUUUGGUUUGGCCAGCCCUGAGCUCAGGCAGGACUCAGCAUUACCCAUGGCAACAAGAAGCUGCUCUUGCCCCAUCUUUCCUACUGUGCUUGGGAGGAAAACCCUCCCGGCUUCUUCAUGUGAUUGGAGCAGCCAUAAAAGUGACCUAUCCCUAAUGGGAAAAAUACUGCCAGAAAAUGUUUGCUAAAAUACUGACAGAAGAAAAUGCACGUCAGCCUGAGAACUGCCAGGUCAGUGAACUAGCAGCAUCCUUGAGAAGCACAGCUGGCCUCUUUGUAGUGCAGCUGCAUACCUGUAAACUAGAGACAUCCUGAAGAUACCAUCAAUAAGGGCAAAACCAAGGAACUGUAAAAACAGCUUAUCAUCUGAAAAAGUGAAAAUUGUCUGGAAAAAAGAAGACAUCCUGAGAAGUUAGGAACUGGCAACUGCUACUGUGUAUUUUACCUGAAAGGAAAUAAAAAAGUCUGAGA